GGGAGUGGCAGGGGGAGACACAAUCGUCGGUUGUGGAGGCACGCAGGCCUGACACUGAAAAGUCCAAGAUUUAAGCUGAACCAUCUUCCAGAGUCUAUCCAUCAUAGCAUUAUGAUGGCUCUUUUUUUGGCCUGGGAUCUUCUGAAAGUCCGUGGCACAUUGGAGGCAGACAGAGAUGAGGCAUGUCCCACAUUCGACCCAGCGAUUACGGAACGUAUUUUCGGGUUCCGUAUAGAUGUGGCAGGUGUGAUUUUCUGGGCAGUGUUCUAUUUUGGAGCAGCGACCAGUCUUAUCGCACGCCGCUAUGGAUUCCACCAUGGCAUUCUGUUGCUUCUGGUCAUCCGUACAGACAGAAAAUGUAAACAACAAUACGAUAAAACCAUUGGACUGCGACCAUGUUGAGGCACCACAUUGAAGGGCUUAGUUGAAGAAAUUUACCCUUGUACUUAUAUUGUUGGUUUCCUACUGAUGCUGUUGUGACACCUGACAAAGUGUGGGACUUAUAAAUAUAUAAACACACACGCACACGCACACACACGUACACACACACACACACGCGCGCGCGCACACACAAGUAAAUAUACAUAGCUUGAUAGAUAAAUUGAGAGAUACAGAGAUACAUAAAUAGAUGUGUAUUACA